UUAGUCUCUCAAACUCAAGAAGUGUUAGAGAAAAAGUAAGGAUAAAAUAUAAAUUACAUCAAAAUUAAGAAAAGACUUAGCGUUUGAGCCACAAAGCAGGCACGCUAAAAACGUAAUAAUUUUUUUUAACUAAAUAAAAAGCUAAGUAGGAACUUCCAGUCAUAAUAGGGGAUUAAGCCACUGCAUCUGAUAAGUAAAAGUAAAGUUAGGAUGAUUUGUCUUCAACCACCAAAAAGACUUGAGCUUAAUUUUAUCUAUAAACUGAUUAAUAGAAUCUCCUUUAUGUUGAAAGACUCUAGCAUUCUGGUCAUGCCAAACAAUCCAAACAAAAGAGAGUCAGAUCAAAUAAAAAGCAUAACAAGUGUGUUUUAAGAAUCCACCCCAGCGAGCAAAAUUGAAUGAUGUGAUCCUUGGCAUGAGCCGGCUUAACUGAAAUCAAGUCCACCCAAUUAUAAAUUUCAUACCAAAUAAGUCUGUAAAAGUCACAAACCAAAAACAGAUGGUAAAUAUCCUUUUGAAAACCGCAACCACCCAAACAAAAAAUUGAAUUUGGCUGAAGAACCCUUCUCUUGAUUAAGUUGUCAACGGUUGGAAGCCGGUAACGUAAUAGACGUCAAGCAAAAAUGUUGACGUAUAAGUUUAAGAUUUUACCAUGUCCGAGAAGUUCA
rnacentral:lncRNA from 1 species